rnacentral:rRNA from 1 species
GACGAACGCUGGCGGCGUGCUUAACACAUGCAAGUCGAACGGAAAGGCCCUGCUUUUGUGGGGUGCUCGAUUGGCGCACGGGUGAGUAACACGCGAGUAACCUGCCCUUGACUUUGGGAUAACUUCAGGAAACUGGGGCUAAUACCCGAUAGGAGCUCCUGCUGCAUGUUGGGCGUUGGAAAGAUUCGGCGGUUGGGGAUGGUCUCGCGGGUUAUCAGCUGGUUGGUGGGGUAGUGGCUUACCAAGGCUUUGACGGGUAGCCGGCCUGAGAGGGUGAACGGCCUCAUUGGGACUAAGGUACGGCCCAGACUCCUACGGGAGGCAGCAGUGGGGAAUAUUACGCAAUGGGCGGAAGCCUGAUGCGGCAACGCCGCGUGCGGGAUGACGGCCUUCGGGUUGUAAACCGCUUUCGCCUGUGACGAAGCGUGAGUGACGGUAAUGGGUAAAGAAGCACCGGCUAACUACGUG